rnacentral:rRNA from 1 species
AGCAGUCGCCGCGGGAAUACGGAGGGUGCAAGCGUUAAUCGGAAUUACUGGGCGUAAAGCGCACGCAGGCGGUCUGACAAGUCAGAUGUGAAAUCCCCGGGCUUAACCUGGGAACUGCAUUUGAAACUGUCAGGCUGGAGUCUUGUAGAGGGGGGUGGAAUUCUAGGUGUAGCGGUGAAAUGCGUAGAGAUCUGGAGGAAUACCGGUGGCGAAGGCGGCCCCCUGGACAAAGACUGACGCUCAGGUGCGAAAGCGUGGGGAGCAAACAGGAUUAGAUACCCCGGUAGUCCCUGUCUCUUAUAC